AAACGCUUUAAAAAUCACUCCGAGUCCUCUGACUGUGGCGGAGAAUGUCGAAAGGUUUCGGGUAAAACUGCCGGCAUGUAAAAGUCCGGGAAAAUCGCCUUGAAAAGAUUCGGACGUAAAAGGCGCGCCUGCGCGACGACGGUUACACGCGAAAACUUCUAGAGCAAUUUAGGUUACUGACAACAGGGAUCGUGUCAUCAAUGGAGCGCCGAGAUCGCACCCGUGUCCUUCUCUGCUGUCGAAAACACUGUUUAUCUUCAUCUUAAAAGCGAGGAUCGGCACUUGAACUCGGAGCAAUUGAAUGAGGAAUGGAAUACCUUGUAAGAGUUUCGACCAACAAUGUAGAAGAGAAUAAGAGUCAGGGGGUAAAGAGGAGGAGAACAUGGAGAGUUACAAGAAUGAAACCUGGAGAGGCAGGAAAUGGGGAGAAUACAGACUGGAAGGGAGCAGAGAUAGAGGCAGGAAGGGAAUGUAGGGUAAGAUUGGAAAGGAACAGAGAGACAGGAAGAGAACAGAGACAGGAAUGGGACAGAAAGACAGGAAGGGAACAGAGAUGGGAAGUGGAGAUAGUAAUAGGAAUGAAAAAGAAGCAGACAGCAAGGGAGAGAUGAAGGGAGCAGAGAGACAGGAAGGGAACAGAGAGACAAAUAGGAAAGAGACAGAGAGGGGAAGGGAUUAAAGGGAAAGAUGGGAAGAGGGGAAAGAGAAAGACAAGAAGGGAACAGAGAUAGGAAGGAAACAGAGAGACACACACAAAGGCAACAGAGAAAGUGACAGGUAGAGAGCGGAGGGAAAGGAUUGAAGACAGCAGAGGGAAAGACUGGAUGGGAACAGAGAUAGGAAUCAGACAGAGAGAGAAACAGGAAGGGAACAGAGAGACAGAUAGGAGAAGUGAAGCACGUGAAGCAAGAAUGGAUUAGAGAGAUAAGCAGGAAGAGGGAAAAACAGAAGUGAAGAAAGAUGGAAAGGAAACAUGAAGACAGAGAAAGGAAGGGAAGAGGGAGCGGCCACUGUGGCACUCCCUGCCAUGAAGUCUCCGGGAUGCUCAGCUCAUUAAAACGCACCCAUUAUCCCCACAUUUGCACGCAUCACAUGCAAAACUAAUUUUCUUGUAAGAAAUUAAAAGUUCAUUUUAAUUGAGCUCGCACUGCAGUAUGCAAAUGAGGAGUACAUAAUGUACACUGAGGCAGAAACAGCACGCCAAAAGCGGCCUUA